GACGAACGCUGGCGGCGUGCUUAACACAUGCCAGUCGAACGGGAUUUAGUAGACAGAAGCCUCGGCUAAAGAUUACUAAUGAGAGUGGCGAACGGGUGAGUAACGCGUGAGCAACCUGCCUAUGACAGUGGGAUAGCCUCGGGAAACCGGGAUUAAUACCGCAUAAAAUCGUAGAAACACAUGUUUUAACGGUCAAAGAUUUAUCGGUCAUAGAUGGGCUCGCGUCUGAUUAGCUAGUUGGUGAGAUAACAGCCCACCAAGGCGACGAUCAGUAGCCGGUCUGAGAGGAUGAACGGCCACAUUGGAACUGAGACACGGUCCAAACUCCUACGGGAGGCAGCAGUGGGGAAUAUUGCACAAUGGGGGAAACCCUGAUGCAGCGACGCCGCGUGAACGAAGAAGGUAUUCGUAUCGUAAAGUUCUGUCCUAUGGGAAGAUAAUGACAGUACCAUAGAAGAAAGCUCCGGCUAAAUACGUG
rnacentral:rRNA from 1 species